GGCCCCAUGCGUCAAGACUCUUGUUUCGGGCGUUGACAAAGACCAGAGCGACCGCGAAGUUUCCUCUGCUUCUAUACACUUCAUUUUCCUCUACUUUGGCUUCUCUCUUGCAUCCAUUCCUUUCUUUACUCUCCCUAUGUUGUCUCUCGGUUCCAUUGUUGAAUUAAUCUCUUGCUGCGCUAUUUCCAUUGGAGGGUCGUCAGCAAGAUUUGACCAGAAUCGCUUCAUUCCCAUAAACUUUCCAGUACAGAACAAUCCUGCUAAUGGGGCAAAGCUUUCACAUCAUCGAGGAGAAGAGACAUUAAACGAAGUGGGGGUCCCGGAUCUGAUUCCGAGAACACAUCUUGCUACAAGCAGUAGCUGCCAGUAAAACCCAGUUGGCACUUUUAUUGGACUUCCUAAUGACACGCUCCACUGAAAUAGAUUCAAACUGCUCAAAGGAUUUCUGAUUCGAAUACAAAGGAACACAAUCGCAUCUGCUGGAAGUGGAAAUAUUGCACGAGAAGGGAAGAUAUAGCGGUCUCACGUUGGAUGUGAAACUGGCCUGAGCCUAUGAACUACAACCAGGUGAACUAGUGGGACAAGCUUCUCAAACAAGAAGGGAAGAGAUUUGGGAUUGCUUGAUGAAGGAAGAGAUGCUCUGUACUGGCGUUUCGGGACAGGGGGAACUGGAUAAAACCUCUCUCGUGAAGCAUAUACACGAUCAAAUAGUGCAGAAUUUUAUAAGGCUCCGUGGUGAUUGUUUGGUCACUGAUCGCAGGAAGACUCUGUUGGUACGAUGCAAACUGAUAUGGUGAACUCUUUCAAACUAGAUUUGGCAGAGGUGAGAGGUAACUACUUUGGCACAAGACGGAAGGACGCAUUGCAGGGUAGGAAGAACAGUUUCAUAUCUAUGUUUGAAGCUUCAUCAUUUGGCUUGGACACAUACCAUACACUUGUUCCGUAUGGAGGAAUGUCCGCACUGUUUGUAUGCCACAAGGGAACCAACAAAAGCAGAGUGCGACUAGGAAAGCUUUUGCCAUAACGGAGUAGGAUGCUGCAGCACAAUGCAGUCAUUGCAGGUUCAAGGAGUAUUUGGACAGAUUUAAAGUUUGUAUGCCACAACGGAACCAACGAAAGCAUAGUGCAACUGGGAAAGUUUUCGCCAUAAUGGAGUAGGAUGAUGCAACAAUCAAUGCAAUAGUUACAGGAAAUUGUAAAGGCACUUUUGCAAUAGUAGUCUCAAACUUGCGAGUGAUGGGAUUUUAAAAUGGACUCCUACGGUUAUAUGGCUCGUCUAGAAGACAAAAGAAAGGACGAACUGGAAAGUAUUUCUAUAGUUAGAGAGUAUUGUAAAGGAUAUUUCUAUAUCCUUUACAUUGAAUUGAUGAUUUAUUUGAUGAACUUCAAGGAGCUCAGGUACUUUCAAAGAUUGACUUUCAUUCUUAGUAUCAUCAGUCGAACAUAAAAGUAUGCCUAAAACUACUUUCAGAGCAAGGUAUGGUCAUUAUGAAUUUCUUGUCAUGUCUAUUAGAUUAAGAAGUGUGUCUUCUA